rnacentral:rRNA from 1 species
GACGAACGCUGGCGGCGUGCUUAACACAUGCAAGUCGAACGGAAAGGCCCUGCUUUUGUGGGGUGCUCGAGUGGCGAACGGGUGAGUAACACGUGAGUAACCUGCACUUGACUUUGGGAUAACUUCAGGAAACUGGGGCUAAUACCGGAUAGGAGCUCCUGCUGCAUGGUGGGGGUUGGAAAGUUUCGGCGGUUGGGGAUGGACUGGCGGCUUAUCAGCUUGUUGGUGGGGUAGUGGCUUACCAAGGCUUUGACGGGUAGCCGGCCUGAGAGGGUGACCGGACCCAUUGGGACUGGGAUGCGGCCCAGACUCCUACGGGAGGCAACAGUGGGGAAUAUUGCACAAUGGGCGGAAGCCUGAUGCAGCAACGCCGCGUGCGGGACGACGGCCUUCGGGUUGUAAACCGCUUUCGCCUGUGACGAAGCGUGAGUGACGGUAAUGGGUAAAGAAGCACCGGCUAACUACGUG